rnacentral:rRNA from 1 species
GACGAACGCUGGCGGCAUGCCUAACACAUGCAAGUCGAACGGAGAUGUUCAGGAAGUUUACUUCUCGAGCAUCUUAGUGGCGGACGGGUGAGUAACACGUGGGUAAUCUGCCUAUCACAUUGGGAUAACAGGGUGAAAACGCUGCUAAUACCGAAUAAGCCGACGGAGGUGGGAGCCUCUGCCGGAAAAGGAGCAAUCCGGUGAUAGAUGAGCCCGCGGCUGAUUAGCUAGUUGGUGAGGUAACGGCCCACCAAGGCGACGAUCAGUAGCCGGCCUGAGAGGGUGAACGGCCACACUGGAACUGAGAAACGGUCCAGACUCCUACGGGAGGCAGCAGUGGGGAAUCUUCCGCAAUGGGCGAAAGCCUGACGGAGCAAUGCCGCGUGAGUGACGAAGGCCUUCGGGUUGUAAAGCUCUGUCUUCAGGGACGAAAAAAAUGACGGUACCUGAGGAGGAAGCCACGGCUAACUACGUGCCAGCAGCCGCGGUAAUACGUAGGUGGCAAGCGUUGUCCGGAAUUACUGGGCGUAAAGGGCGUGUAGGUAGACUGAUCAGUCGGAUGUGAAAUAUCCAGGCUUAACCUGGGGGCUGCAUUCGAUACGGUCAGUCUUGAGUGCAGGAGAGGGCAGUGGAAUUCCCAGUGUAGCGGUGAAAUGCGUAGAUAUUGGGAGGAACACCAGUGGCGAAGGCGGCUGCCUGGACUGUAACUGACACUGAGGCGCGAAAGCGUGGGGAGCAAACA